GGAUGUGAGAGUGAUCUGGCUGGGGCCUCUGUCACCCUACAAUUCGCCAGAGGUGACUCAGUUGAUCUGGCUGGUUAGGCGGGUGUCCCCUUCCUCUCUCACUGCUCCAUGUGCGUCCCUCCCCCUGGAAGCUUCCUGUCCAGUUGGUCAGUCAUAGAGGAUGACUUCCCCCACUAGAGGAAGGACUGUUCUUCGGUCAAGGGUAUACGAGUAGCUGCACUCCUCUGCUAGGACCUUCAAAUGCAUGCUCAAAAGUCAAUUGAUUGUUCAUAAAAGGGAAACACAAGUGAUAAUUUGUAAAAUGGAAACACAUUUGAAAACUAGCAACUCACAUUCUUAUGUUUGUUUAUAAUCCUUC
ensembl:misc_RNA 7SK 7SK RNA